rnacentral:rRNA from 1 species
CUAAGCAUAUCAAUAAGCGGAGGAAAAGAAACCAACAGGGAUUGCCUCAGUAACGGCGAGUGAAGCGGCAACAGCUCAAAUUUGAAAUCUGGCUCUUUCAGGGUCCGAAUUGUAAUUUGUAGAGGAUGUUUCGGCGUUGGCGCCGCCCAAAGUUCCUUGGAACGGGACGUCAUAGAGGGUGAGAGCCCCGUGUCUAGGCGGAUGUCUUUGCCAUGUGAAACUCCUUCGACGAGUCGAGUUGUUUGGGAAUGCAGCUCAAAACGGGAGGUAAAUUUCUUCCAAAGCUAAAUACCGGCUGGAGACCGAUAGUGCACAAGUAGAGUGAUCGAAAGAUGAAAAGCACUUUGGAAAGAGAGUCAAACAGCGCGUGAAAUUGUUGAAAGGGAAGCGCUUGCAGUCAGACUCGGCCGCCGUUGCUCGGGGGGGCUUCUGCCCCUCUUACUCUUCGGCGGUUGGGCCAGCAUCGGCUCGGGCGGUUGGACAAAGGCCGCGGGAAUGUGGCUCCUUCUGGAGUGUUAUAGCCCGUGGUGCAAUACAACCCGCCUGGGUCGAGGUCUGCGCAUCUGCUAGGAUGCUGGCGUAAUGGCUGUAAGCGGCCCGUCUUGAAACACGGACCAAGGAGUCUAACAUUCUUGCGAGUGUUUGGGUGUCAAACCCGCACGCGUAAUGAAAGUGAACGUAGGUGGGAUCCCUCACGGGUGCACCAUCGACCGAUCUUAAUGUCUUCGGAUGGAUUUGAGUAUGAGCAUGAAUGUUGGGACCCGAAAGUUGGUGAACUAUGCCUAAGCAGGGCGAAGCCAGAGGAAACUCUGGUGGAGGCUCGCAGCGGUUCUGACGUGCAAAUCGAUCGUCAAAUUUGGGUAUAGGGGCGAAAGACUAAUCGAACCAACUAGUAGCUGGUUCCUGCCGA